rnacentral:rRNA from 1 species
CGUAGGACACAAGCGUUAUCCGGAGUUACUGGGCGUAAAGGGCGUGUAGGUCGGACGUGUAAGUCUAUUCUGAAAGCUCCUGGCUAAACUGGGAGAGGCGAAUGGAGACUGCAUAUCUAGAGUGAGGAAGAGGAAAGUGGAAUUCCGCGUGUAGUGGUGAAAUGCGUAGAGAUGCGGAGGAACACCAGUGGCGAAAGCGACUUUCUGGUCCUUAACUGACGCUGAGGCGCGAAAGCAUGGGGAGCGAACGGGAUUAGAAACCCCGGUAGUCCAUGCCAUAAACGAUGUUCACUAAACGUUCGUUCUCCGCGAGGAGAGUGGGUGUUGAAGCUAACGCAGUAAGUGAACCGCCUGGGGAGUACGGUCGCAAGGCUAA